UCUGGCUUCUGUCAAGAUUUUCUUAUUAUCUUUUUCAGAAAUUUUACUAUAAAAUGUUUAUCAUUUGCUGGGAUUUUUGAACCUCAAAAUUAAUAUUUUUCCAACAAAUUUGGAAACAUUUGAUCUAUUAAUUGAUUAACUAUUUUUGUUCUAUUAUCACUUUUAUUUUUUUGGAACUUCAAUUAUAUGUAUGCUAGACUCCUUGACAUUAUUCACACAGGUUACUGAAGAUGUGUUAAUCUUUUUUCAGUCUUUUACUAACUGUUCUGUAGCUUGUAUACUUUAUAUUGCUCUGUCUUCAAGUUAAUUUAACCUUUCUGUGCUGUGUCUCAUUUGUUGAUAAUUCCUCCAGUGAUGUUUAAAUUUCUGGUACAGUUUUUAAGUUUUAGAAUUUCUAGUUUUUAAGGGUCUCAAUUUCUCUUCUGAGAUUUCCCAUUCAUCCUUUUGUUUUAAUUAUGACUACCCCCCACUUUAAAGUUAUUCAACAUAUUUAAAGUCAUUUUCCUGCUAAAUUAAAAAACAAAACAAAACUAAGUAAUCUCAGGGUCUAUUUCAGUAGAUAUUUUUUCCUCUUGAUUAUGCAUUCCAGUUUUCUGGGUUUCAAAAGCUGUGUCUUAAAAUUUUAAUGAACACAGUAGAUUAUUCUUUGCAGAGAUAAUAUAUUCUGUUAUGCUCCUCUGUAGAAUGAUUUUUGUUAUGGGAGGUUGAUUAUCUUGAACUUGUGGUAUUCUUAUCUUACUCUUAUAAGAAUGUCUUGUUUUGUUCGUAGAAGAAUCUCUCAGUUCUGGAUCAUAGCAUUUACUUCUGAGGUAUGGCCAUUUUUGAGUUUCAAUGGAAGACUCUGAAGCUUCAAAUACCAAGGCUCUUUACGUUGUUGGGACUCAAUUUGUUCUCCUCUAUGUUCCAGAUGAGCACACCUUUCAGUCCAUUUGCUGCCAACACCACCUACAGGGAUCCCACAGUAGCCAUUUUCAUUGGGCUAAACAGCACAAAGAGGCUAUUGUCGGAGAGCAGAUGCAGGAGAAGAUUUUGCCAAAUGGCAUAUUCUAAGUUAAUGUGAAAUAACCAAAACACCUGAUAAUCAUGGAAAGUGAGCUUAAGAGUUUAUGAAGAUGCAUUUUGAAAUAACUACUGUGGAAAACCUUCUAAGAGACCACCAGGAGAUGAAUAAGAGGAUAUGUGCAGAAAAGGUCAAGAUAAAUUAACCUUUGGGUGAAGUCGAAUAACCCAACUGAUGGAGCCAGAGAGGAUGGAAGGAAGAUGUGGUCCAAUAUCGUGAACUAAAAAGGUAGUUUGAGUUAAAUUUUAAAGAAUAUCUAUCAUUUUGUAAUUAAGAACUGAUUUUUCUAUUAAUGUAAAUCAUGACCAUUUUGACAGUUUCAAGUAGGUUUAAAAAGUCACGCAUGGUGAUUGUCACUUGGGAAAGGGCAUCUGGCCACUUAGAAAGGUCUCCAAGGGUGGCAUUUCAUUUUCUUUGGUAAAAUUACCACAAUGCAAAUAAUGAUUGUUAUCCCUGAAAACUCAAAAGUCUGAUAUUGUAAGGAAAAAUCGAAAUGUCUAGCUGACUAAGAUAGAGUAAUCACAUUCUCUCCCUCUAUCCAAACUACAUAGGAAGCUAAUUUAAAACUGUAUUGCUAAUUGACUGUAUUUCCCCCAAAGAAAUGAAGAUAAUUGCGGACACUUAUUAAGUGCUCACUGUGUGCCUAAUACCCUUCUAAAUGCUUACAUGUAUUUCUUGAAAUCUCACAACAACCAUGAAAGCAGGAUUCUUGUUAUCUUCAUUUUCUCAGAUAAGAAUAGUUAGAGAGAGACUAACUUGUCUGAGGCUGCAUAAGUAAUAAAUAGUCUAUGAUUUCAAAUGUUUAUGAUUUCAAAUGUUUGUCCUUUCUGUGACAUUGGGG
rnacentral:lncRNA from 1 species